rnacentral:rRNA from 1 species
UACAGAGGUCCCGAGCGUUGUUCGGAUUCACUGGGCGUAAAGGGUGCGUAGGUGGCGAGGUAAGUCGGAUGUGAAAGCUCGGAGCUCAACUCCGAAAUGGCAUUGGAAACUACCUUGCUCGAGGGUUGGAGGGGGGACUGGAAUACUUGGUGUAGCAGUGAAAUGCGUAGAUAUCAAGUGGAACACCAGUGGCGAAGGCGAGUCUCUGGACAUUUCCUGACGCUGAGGCACGAAAGCCAGGGGAGCAAACGGG